rnacentral:tRNA from 1 species
GGGUCGUUAGCUCAGUUGCUAGAGCAGCGGCCUUUUAAUCCGUUUGUACCGCGUUCGAGUCGCGGACGACCCACCA